rnacentral:sRNA from 1 species
CACCAUCCGUGCUUCAAACACUAACGGUAAUACACAUACCAUACUACAACAUUUAUAACAUACAGUCAGACAAUUAUUGAUACUGUUAGGAGGUGGUUACUGCAGAGCGGAUAAAUAAAUGCAAUUUGUAAAUAUUUACUGCGUGAACUACUGGUUGUGUUGUUGUGAAAUAUUGUUUCUCGUAAGAGGCUCACUGUGGAGUGGUUAAUAUUAUAGUUACAACACUUUGUGAUACUGACAAAUAAAAACAUGUUUUACAAACAGUUGACCAAUGAAAACAUGUUUUACAAACGGUUGACCAAUGAAAACAUGUUUUACAAACGAUUGACCAAUGAAAACAUGUUUUACAAAUGAUUGACCAAUAAAAACAUGUUUUACAAACGAUUGACCAAUAAAAACAUGUUUUACAAACGAUUGACCAAUGAAAACAUGUUUUACAAACGAUUGACCAAUAACCGUUGCGUACACAAUACAUGGUAUUCUCGAAUACAAAAUGUAGUUUGGAUCGAUAGAUAAGCAGACAAAUAGUUAUAAAGACAGAAGUCGACAUCGUUCAUUCGGAUUGGGAGAAAGCCCAUCGAUAUAUACCGGGAAUUGGGUGA